CUGAUGCAGCGACGCCGCGUGAGGGAUGACGGCCUUCGGGUUGUAAACCUCUUUCAGCUCUGAAGAAGCGAAAGUGACGGUAGGAGCAGAAGAAGCACCGGCUAACUACGUGCCAGCAGCCGCGGUAAUACGUAGGGUGCGAGCGUUGUCCGGAAUUAUUGGGCGUAAAGAGCUUGUAGGCGGUUUGUCGCGUCUGCUGUGAAAGCCCGGGGCUUAACCCCGGGUCUGCAGUGGGUACGGGCAGGCUAGAGUGUGGUAGGGGAGACUGGAAUUCCUGGUGUAGCGGUGGAAUGCGCAGAUAUCAGGAGGAACACCGAUGGCGAAGGCAGGUCUCUGGGCCAUUACUGACGCUGAGAAGCGAAAGCAUGGGGAGCGAACAGGAUUAGAUACCCUGGUAGUCCAUGCCGUAAACGUUGGGCGCUAGGUGUGGGUCACAUUCCACGUGAUCUGUGCCGCAGCUAACGCAUUAAGCGCCCCGCCUGGGGAGUACGGCCGCAAGGCUAAAACUCAA
rnacentral:rRNA from 1 species